rnacentral:piRNA from 1 species
UGUGAAUGAGGGAGCAGUAAGGACC